rnacentral:rRNA from 1 species
GACGAACGCUGGCGGCGUGCUUAACACAUGCAAGUCGAGCGGUAAGGCCCUUUCGGGGGUACACGAGCGGCGAACGGGUGAGUAACACGUGGGUGACCUGCCCUCAGCUCUGGGAUAAGCCUGGGAAACCGGGUCUAAUACCGGAUAUGACUCCAUGACGCAUGUUGUGGGGUGGAAAGCCUUGUGCGGCUGAGGAUGGGCCCGCGGCCUAUCAGCUUGUUGGUGGGGUGANGGCCUACCAAGGCGACGACGGGUAGCCGGCCUGAGAGGGCGACCGGCCACACUGGGACUGAGACACGG